GGAUUCUAGGAACUUAAAGUCAUCUAAAUUGGUAUUAGAUAGGAAAACCAGACACUAUACGCCAUUAUAUAGAUUUUCAACAAUGCUAGACUCAGAGUAUAUACAGUCAGGACAAAAAGAAUUUAAAAGACUAUCCACAACAUUCUCAUUUUGAUGAAUUGUUAAACCACAGAAACUUAAAGAAGACCUACAGAAAACCUAGGCUGUAUAGUAUAUACAACAAUAUAAAAGAAUCGGCCAGUUGCGUUCAUCUAUAAGGAACCCAAAAAUUGAGCAAUGACCUUGAAGAGUAAGCAAUGUGUACAGUAAGA